GACGAACCGUGCGAGCGUUGUUCGGAAUCACUGGGCUUAAAGGGCGCGUAGGCGGCUCUCUUGGUCGUGGGUGAAAUCCUGGAGCUCAACUCCAGAACUGCCUUCGAUACUGGAAAGCUCGAGUCCGGGAGAGGUGAGUGGAACUGCGAGUGUAGAGGUGAAAUUCGUAGAUAUUCGCAAGAACACCAGUGGCGAAGGCGGCUCACUGGCCCGGUACUGACGCUGAGGUGCGAAAGCGUGGGGAGCAAACAGG
rnacentral:rRNA from 1 species